CACACACACACCAGGGCAGCACAUGGGGGAGGAGAGGAAAAGGUGUUAGGGGAGAGGAUUGCAACAUAUGGGGAGGAAUGUGUUAGAAGGGGUUGCAACACAUGAGAAGGGAGGAGAGAUGUUAGAGGAGAGGAUUGUAACACAUGGGUGGGAGAGGAGAGGGGUUAGAGGAGAGGAUCAUAACACAUGGGUGGGAGAGGAGAGGGGUUAGAGGAGAGGAUCAUAACACAUGGGUGGGAGAGGAGAGGGGUUAGAGAAGAGGAUCGUAACACAUGGGUGGGAGAGGAGAGGUGUUAGAGGAGAAGAUCGUAACACAUGGGAAGAAGAGGUGUUUGAGGAGAGAAUCGUAACACAUGGGGAGAAGAGGUGUUCGAGGAGAGGAUCGUAACACAUGGGGAGAAGAGGUGUUCGAGGAGAGAAUCGUAACACAUGGGGAGAAGAGGUGUUUGAGGAGAGAAUCGUAACACAUGGGGAGGAGAGGUGUUUGAGGAGAGGAUCGUAACACAUGGGGAGUAGAGGAGAGGUGUUAGAGAAAAGAAAGGGAUUUGAGGAGAGAAUCGCAACACAGGAAGAAGAGAAAAGAAAGAUGUUCGAGGAAAGGAUCGCAACAAAUGGGAAAGAAACACACCACAGGAAGGAGGAAAAGAAAAGAAGAGGUGUCUGUAGACCUCACUAGGGGACACAAACACACUGGAUAAGGAAGGGAAUGUCACUAAAUAUGAGGGAUAAUAUGACGACUUAAAAUGGUCCAUAGUUUCAUAGCCUCAACAUACCGUACAUACAAAGAACUGGGCAACAAACCACAACUAACCUAACCUAACCAUGAUAUAUAUGGAGAGGAGACAGAAUGGUGCUGAAAGAGUUAAUACAGCUGUUCAUACACCUCAUUUGACAUCACACACACACAAGGGCAAGGCAAUGGAUGGGAAGAAGAUGAGAGGCGUCAGAAUGUAAGGAGUAGAAACAUGUAAAACAGUCCCCUGCAUACUGACUACAAGGGCAAGGCAAUGGAUGGGAAGAAGAUGAGAGGUACCAGAAUGUAAGGAGUAGGAACAUGUAAAACAGUCCCCUGCAUACUGACUACAAGGGCAAGGCAAUGGAUGGGAAGAAGAUGAGAGGCACCAGAAUGUAAGGAGUAGGAACAUGUAAAACAGUCCCCUGCAUACUGACUACAAGGGCAAGGCAAUGGAUGGGGAAGAUGAGAGGCACCAGAAUGUAAGAGUAGAAAC